GUUUCACAGUCUUAUGGGACAGAAAGUUUUGGAAAAUGGAGCUGACGUUUUCACUACUUUGGUCCCUAGCGAUAUUGUUGCUUAAACUAACAUGGAAAGUGGGUUCAAUCACUUUAAAGUGCCCUCUCAAGUGUCAUCUCAUAAUGGUAAUCUCCUUAUUGAAUAGUAAUUUGGCUUAGAAUAAGAAACCUAUCUCUUCCCCCUAAUGGCUUUUCACAACCCCUUGCGGGAAUGCGUAUCGUUGCUGCAUCACCACCGUAUUCCUGACUUGCUUUUCCGAACUGCUUGUUUUCUCGGGGCUGCAGUCCAGUUGCUUAGUGGUUUGCUUCUCGGUCUACCCAAUCAAGGUUAUACCUCGCUCUAUCAACCAUUGCUUUAAAUAGUAUCAUGUUAUUUCAUCUUUCAUUGAUACCAUCAUUACAAUCGAGGGCCUACAAUCCAUGGAAAUCCCUAUUCCGAUCACUGGGAAAGAAGAGCAAGUAAGUAAUGAAUUAAUGAAUGAAUUUAGAUGGUAUAUAAACAUCUCCCCCUGAAGGGAAGGUGCUAUAGUAUCUAACUAAGAAAAAAAGUAGGUUGUGAAAUGAUAGGAAAUAUGCCAUGCAGAAAAUCCAGGAAAUAUUUCCUUGAUUUUCGGAUGACCCGGCUUAUCUUUGCAGUUAUACUUAUUUAGCAGAAUCUAGUGAGUGUUCCAUUAAAAGGAAAGAGAGCUAUUCGUUGUAGGAUUGAUCCAGACAACCCAACCUAAGUCACCUAUUGCGCCUAACCUAAGUAUAGUACCAGUGGUCGGCGAGGAGAAGUUCAUUCCUGUAGAGAAGAGAGGGGAUCCUAUUUCCUUUCCCCCUUUCCCAGUAUGGCAACCUUAUCUUCCAGCAUGAAAGUUGGUAUCAAAAUGAAACAAUCCAAUCCAAUCCAUACUUGUGGAGUGCUCAGUUCAGUUCCUCAUUUCUCUCAAGCCUAAACCGGAAAAGGAAACCUAUUACCCGGGGUCCCCCCUUUCGGCUAUCUCAUCUGCUGUUCCUCGACUCUCAGGAAGGUAAGAUCAUCAAUCAAUAGUAGGCUGCUGCUCUGUGCAGUUAAAGAUGGGAUCCAUCCUGUUCUGUUUGCUUGUUUCCUAUAAUCUGUGCUCAAUUCCAUAUUUCUGUAUCCUUCGAUUCCCGGGACAGAUCUGAUCUCCUUUAUACUGACCUCAAACAACGAGCGAAGUCGAGAUGUUGAUGAGAAAGGGGCUUUUCUCAAGGCCAAAGAGUGCUCUUUGAAGGCUACUAUGCAUCCUUACGAAUACAAGAGUGGUUUUUUUUGUUUUGGGUAUAGCAGGACUUGAACCUGCGACCAUUAGGUUAAAAGCCCAAUGCUCUACCAACUGAGCUAUACACCCGAUUUUACAAGAAGGCUUGGUGCGGAAAAGAAAAGAGGGCGGCCUAGCCCCUUUUCUUCUUAUCAUAUCACAAGGGCGCGGCUCUGUAUGGUAUAGUACUGUGGAGCAAGUCUGGGAGUCCUUUCCACUCAUUGAGGAUUCUAUCUAAAAAAGAAGGUCAACGGGGGAGACUACAAUAGCUCGAACUCAGACUAUCUAUGAAAAAGGUAAAGUCGUCUUUCCUAGGGUUCGACCGAAAGGAGCUGUGUUCUAUGGUUUGACAUUGUGGAGGUCCAGUACUCUUCUAAACGAAGAAAGAGGGGAUUCGCGCUACCUCCUACUCCUACAGAAGAUCGAUUGGCGCGAACUUCCAAUCGAUUCCUUAUUCAUCGUUGCCGACCCUUACAUCAUCAUAAAGAGAAUCAAGAUAUCCCAAGAACCCAGCUAGGGAUGAAUGACUAGCGCUCAAGAACAAGGAAGGGAUGAGCGCACGGGAGCGGCGUUGCUUGUUGCUUUAUUAUCACAUUAGAGAAGCGGAACCUCCAAGCUCAGACAUCUCGAACUCAGAAACUACCCUUCUAUCCCACCCUGCUCCUCCGGCACCGGAAGCAGAACUACCUGACCGAAGGAGAUAGACAGGAAGGGAAGACGGUCAUACAAAGGCUAAAUAAAGCUCUCUUGAAGCUUCAUCUGAAUAGACCUAGAGUCACUCAGUACAUACGAACCCUUGAAUACAUAAGAAUUGAGAAGUAUGAAAUGUGGGCAUCAUAACAAAAAAAGAAAAAGACCGAACCAGUAAGACUAAUGUCUACUUAUUUAUACCUUUGAGAAGUCCACUUAGACUAUUAUGAUUUUCUCUUUAGCUACGUAGGCUAUAUAAGAUUCAAUUCAAUCUAACAAGCAGACUGGACUACCUUCGGCUACUACAAGAUAUUUAGAAACCUAAGAAGCUGAGCCUACUUUACGCACUUAAGGCAGUAGCAGAUGAUGAAGAAAUGGGCGGUAGAUGAUAAUGAGAAAGGGCGCCCCUUGGAAUUUCCUGUGGGGGAGUCUGAUUGAUCCAAUCACGACGAAUGAUGUCAACCCCCUCUUUUGCGCCUAACUUGACUCUGAUUCUCCCACUAUGAGAGCUGAUCCAGGGGCUAGUUCGGCUAGAGAAUGGAAUUUACGAAAGCCCCCCGUCUUUCCGACUCAAUGUAUUGCCCUUUGGGACCAGGAUCUGACGAGGAAGUGAGAGAGGGGACACCAAACAUAGGUGCGUACCAUUGCCCCAAUCCAAUGGACUAUGUCAUACAGGGAGGAACCCUUGGAGGUUGGGACAGAAAGAAAGCAGGUUUUGCUUCUGCUUCCUUCGAGCAACCAAACUCUUUCGUCAGGUGUGGGUCAAGUUCCCUCAUUAUUGCUUGACUUCCCCUUUGGGGCACGAAAAGAUGGACUAGGACUUAAGUAAGGGAGAGGACAACCCCUGUUUCUGGCUUACCUUCAACGAGUGAGUGCUAUUCCCAUUCAUUACUUUGAUCCGACCCUGUUCCCUGACCAGUUUGCUUGCUCACUAGAAGAGUCAAGCGAGAGCAGCUAGUUUAGAAGGAAAAGGACACCUGGGGCUAUUCGGCCUCACUUGUCGGAGACUGAACUACUGCUCGCUUACUUGCUGAUCAAGGAGGUCAUUUCCACUUACUCUAAGCAUAGAAGGAAGAAGAUUGAAAAACUAACAACCAAAUUGUCUUCAGCCCUACUUACUUAUAGGCUGACUUGGCCCAGGAAACAAGGUUCUAUUAGGCUUGCAGGGCUUAAAAAAGAAUGAGCUAGAUCGCAGGUAUUUGGAUACGAGGUAGUAGCGGGGUCUAGCCGAAGCGGUGCGCAAAGUGUACAAAGGCGAGUCUCACGAGCAGCGGCACGUGAGGGGUCUCCCAAACUUCAUGGAAGACGCAGUUAGGGAGUUGGAAGAUGCACUUUGGACUCCUGCACAAGUAAGAAUGGAACUGGAAUAAAAAGUCGGGGUAGCUAGUCACUUCGUUACUGAGGAAAGAGAGGAUGGCAUUUCCAUAAGUAGACUCUCCUUCUUACUGAAUCCUUAUCCUGCCCUCUCUACUCGGGAACAAUUCAUUCUUAACUCGUACAUAAGUUCCGGGCGUCGACAAGAGAGUUAGCGAUAUACAACUGGUUCGGUGGACUGGUGGUGACACGGGAGGGCCCUCUACUUUAUUUGCCGAAUCCAAUCGAUCAUGGGCGGCCCUCUUCGUUCACAGUCUUUCUUUCCUUUCGAAUCCAAUUCUUCCAAUCUGACCAAAUAGCAAUUCAUUGAAAUCAUUCGGGUCACCUCUUUUUUAAGCACUUGACCAAGCCUAUUUCUAUAGAAAAGGACAGGAAUCUAUUGACUUUGAGUCUGUCUCCUACUACGAAAUUGGAACUGAACACAGGAUGGCAAUAGUGAGAAAAAAAUCCCCUCGUACUACGUCAUUAUUUAUUCGAUUUUCCCUGGUAAGUGCUCCAGAUGCAGUUGCUUUAGUUGACGUAGUGAGUGGAACCUAAUUAUAUGUUUCCUUGAAUACCAUAGUUGCCUUUUGUAGAUGAGAAAGCCAACAAUUUUGCAAGGAGUUGAUAAUUGCACUUGAAGUAGUAAGUUUAAAGACAGUUGAAACUUAAUGGCACCGUUUAACCAAGCACUCUUGUAGCUUGGUGAGGCAAGAGACGAAUUCAUCGUUAGUUACCUCCACGAUAUCCAAAAUACCCUCAAGACCAUGAAGACAGAUAAUGAGAGUCAGGUUCAAACAAUUCAAGGAUUGUAAAUACCAUAACAGCAAAGUAGAAUGCACCAAAUUUUUCCUAUUACCGGCUCCAGGAAGAGCACACCAAAUGAAAGAAACUAUUACUCAAAAAGCGAAUCACAUCUCGAUCCACAAACUGGCAAAAGCCUUUGUUAUUCCAUUCCCAGUGGAACGUCAACCUGUUUAACAACAAUUUUCUAAGAAACUUGCUGAAUUCUAAAUGAAACAACCUUAUUUUCAAGUGACAUGCAAUAUCCAUUUCACCCAAUUAUUCAAGAUCAAAGGGCUAACUGCACAGCUAAUUGAAUUCCUUUUCGAGGUUGAGUUCAUCUUGAAACCGCAUUUGCUUCCUAAUUAAACUGAGAAAAAAUAAGAAUAUUAAAAGAAAGACUCCACAGAACAUGAAUGAAUUCAGGUACAUCACAUCAGGCUGAUAUGUGCCGGUAUCAUACCUGUUUCAAGAUUCUGGCUAAGCCCUUCUUGUUGCCACAUAUCCAGUUUCUUCUAAGGUUUCUGGAAUUUCUCAAGUUCCUGCUCAACUCUUCUUGUCUAGCUCCAGUCUAGCACUUGUACCAGUCGCCUACCAGAUCACGACUUUGCUCCAAUUCUACUCUCCAAUUAUGCAAUCCUCUCCAAAAUUGGGGCUUUUCUUCACUUCAGCACUUCCCCUCGCAGUGGAUUCCACUAGGUUCUUAACCUCUUCCCAAUUCUUAAACUGAAACAUGCGAUGUCUAAUCCAACUCGGCACCUAACCAGGUUGUCAGCAUCGUAAUUUUGCCUCAACAUUCCCCCUAGAAAUACAAAAAUAAUGUAAAUCUACUUUCAUUUAUUUAUUAGGGUAGGGAUGAGACUUUCUUUUUCUUUUUCUAUUUUCUAGAAUAAGUAUGCUCUGGAGUAAAUGGAUUCGAACCUUUGCAUGCCGGUACCAAAAACCGAUGCCUUACCACUUGGCUAUACUCCAAACGGGGGGAAGGCUCGAUGAAAACGAGCUGGGAUAUAGAUUUUUCAGAAGGAAGAGUUAGUUACCCUCGGUCUUCCUUCUUUCCCGGGAAUCAAGGAAGUAGUAGUGGGACAGUCCUUUAUUUCCCCCUUUAGACCAACUACAACAAGCUCGCUCCUUAGGUUAGCUCUCUGCUCUACCUAUUUGUUUGCAAUGCCUUGCUUAUCAAAAUAGGCCUUUUUGUAACCUGACCUUAUGCUGAAAAAUUGCACUUGUUGGCUCUGCGUCCACUGAAACUUAUGAAAAAGAAAUGUUAUUCUAUCGAUAUCUUCAAGAGUUCGCUAACCCCCUGACUCAGAGUGCUAUGAUGGGCUAUUGAAGUUCGUCCCUGCGGCACGGUGGGGCAGUGCAAAUCCUUUCAUUAAUGAAGUUCUGCCCUGACACUCCCAUUAUUGGCUUCCUUCCCUGGGGACCGCUCGGGCGAAGGCAGAGCAUCGAAUGAUCGUAGGGGCAUCCUUCCUAGGUGGAAAAGAUGUGUGUGACUAAAACGAGGAGGAGAAAUCCAUUUUCAAAUGGCGACAGAAAGAAAGGAAUCACGAAAUAGAAGAAAAAGUGCACUGUGCUGGCAAAUGUGGAGAAUAGCCAUCCAUCUUUCAUCAAUGAAAUUGUUCCGUAUGGGUAGCAAAUACACAUAUCAGAAGAGCCAACCCGAAAGCACUUGCUUCAAAGAAGCAGCAGUUACCAAGAAAUUCCUGUUUCAAGUCAGUAUAUCUCGAUAGAACCAAUUCCAAUCCAGGUAGUGUGAACAGAGGAUGUGGAAGUUCUGUUUCCUUGCCUUGUCAAGCAUUUCAUCUGACACUCUAUCUAUACUAUAGCUAGAUCAAUUCCUAUUCUUUCUUCCAGGCGACUUUACUCCAAAGAAUUUUGCCUUCUUAUCUUGACUCGAUCUCACGAAAUUGGAUUGAUUGGCACACCGCGCAUCUGGCAUUCGCUUCUCCUAUCUAUCUCUUCCAACUAAGCUGAUCACUGGAAAAUAUGAAAUCCUGCAAGCAAUCAUUCCAGAGCCAACUACAAAGAUACCUGGUCUUCCACUCUGUUCACUGGAGGAAAGACAACAAAGUAAACAAUUCUUCAAAGGAAUUGGCUCUACCGGAACAGAGGAAUUGGCUCGCUCCUUCGCUCGCUGGGUAAGCAUAGAAUGCACACCAGUCUGGUACCAAAGCGUAUCUACCUGAAAAGGAGACUACUUGAACAGAUGAAAUGGAAGGAAGAAAUGAAAGUUCGAUCUACCAACGUAGAGUCCACCCCUCCCAGGAAGAAGAAAUUUGCUGCUUUGGCUCAUCAGUUGGUAAGUCUGUCUAUGAAGUUCAGUGCCCAGAAAAGAGAAAAAAAGUCCAAAACAAGCUUUUUCAAGCUCUACAAGUCCUAUAUAUAUAGUGUUCCACUAGAUAGCCGUGUUAAACUAAUCCAGUCUUGCCGAGUGGCCUUAUCUUCUGGUUACCUGGUCCAGUACUUCUACUUCGAGAGUGAGUUACUAAACAGGAUCAACUUUAUGUUCCAUUUUGAGAAAUUGCAAUCACAGAAUCAGAACGAGUGGGUCUAGAGUCCAUCCUCACACAGUUGAAAUGCUUCUUCUCCCUUCUCCUUUCCAAAAGAAAGUGGAUCUCAUAGCCUCUGACAAUUCGAAAAGUAGGUCUCAGUCUCAUUUUCAGAUGCCAUUUUCCACCAGACAGAGAAUCCCGUAUUCUUUAAGCCAAGCCGCCAAUCCUAGGGUCAAUGCAGAACAGGAAACCAUUGCUAUUUGAGCAGUUAGAGAAUCGAAAUUCCACUCAUUUAGAAAUCGAUCGGCGAAUGCCAGAGGAAGGAUAAGGGGAGCCUACACCAACGUAGUCUUAGCCCUAGAACACAUGGAGCUUGGAGCACUGAUAAUAAGUCUGUCUGAUUUUCAAGGAGUUUAUGAACAAUCACCACAUCCAUAUUGAGGAGAAAGCUCACUCAGGCUACUGAACUUGUAAAUACAGUUGCGCUCAUGAUAGGGAUUCCGUUUAUGGCGUGAGGUGAAGUUAGAAGCAUACCUGGAUAUAUACUCAUAGUGGCUUCCAUACCUAUCUCCGGUAGAACUAACAAAAUAGAAACCUAUGACUAGUAGACUCAUACAAAAACUUGAAAGAUCUAUUUCAUUAGAAGAGAAAGUUCACUAAUCUAUGGCCUAGAAAGCCAAAAGAAAUGAUCAGUCCAAUGACAGAAGGACAGACGCGCGUUCCCUUCGUCCUCAAUGUGCGUCCACAGCUUACUCGAGUGCUUGAGAUAUUCAUUUGGUUUAAGGCACCUUCAUCGUAGGAAGGAAAAAACCCGGAUCCCUGGGCGGAUCAUUCCCUCUAACAAGCUAAACAAGAGUCCAGGAGCGAGAGAGGAAAAUCCAAAGUGCAAAUAACAUA
rnacentral:lncRNA from 1 species